rnacentral:rRNA from 1 species
UGGGGAAUCUUGCGCAAUGGGCGAAAGCCUGACGCAGCAACGCCGCGUGCGGGACGAAGGCCUUCGGGUCGUAAACCGCUUUCAGCAGGGACGAAAAUGACUGUACCUGCAGAAGAAGCUCCGGCUAACUACGUGCCAGCAGCCGCGGUAAUACGUAGGGAGCAAGCGUUAUCCGGAUUUAUUGGGCGUAAAGCGCGCGUAGGCGGCUUGUUAAGUCAGGUGUGAAAGCCGGGGGCCUAACCCGCGGAUUGCAUCUGAAACUGGCAGGCUUGAGUGUGGUAGAGGAGAGUGGAAUUCCCGGUGUAGCGGUGAAAUGCGCAGAUAUCGGGAGGAACACCAGUGGCGAAGGCGGCUCUCUGGGCCACUACUGACGCUGAGGCGCGAAAGCUAGGGGAGCGAACA